AUUGAACGCUGGCGGCGGGCCUAACACAUGCAAGUCGAACGGUAACAGGAAGAAGCUUGCUUCUUUGCUGACGAGUGGCGGACGGGUGAGUAAUGUCUGGGAAACUGCCUGAUGGAGGGGGAUAACUACUGGAAACGGUAGCUAAUACCGCAUAACGUCGCAAGACCAAAAAGGGGGACCUUCGGGCCUCUUGCCAUCGGAUGUGCCCAGAUGGGAUUAGCUAGUAGGUGGGGUAACGGCUCACCUAGGCGACGAUCCCUAGCUGGUCUGAGAGGAUGACCAGCCACACUGGAACUGAGACACGGUCCAGACUCCUACGGGAGGCAGCAGUGGGGAAUAUUGCACAAUGGGCGCAAGCCUGAUGCAGCCAUGCCGCGUGUAUGAAGAAGGCCUUCGGGUUGUAAAGUACUUUCAGCGGGGAGGAAGGGAGUAAAGUUAAUACCUUUGCUCAUUGACGUUACCCGCAGAAGAAGCACCGGCUAACUCCGUG
rnacentral:rRNA from 1 species